rnacentral:rRNA from 1 species
GACGAACGCUGGCGGCGUGCUUAACACAUGCAAGUCGAACGGAGUUCCUUGGAUAGAGGCUUCGGCCAAUUGAAUUGGAACUUAGUGGCGGACUGGUGAGUAACGCGUGAGGAACCUGCCUUUCAGAGGGGGACAACAGUUGGAAACGACUGCUAAUACCGCAUGACACAUUUGGGUGGCAUCGCUUGAAUGUCAAAGAUUUUAUCGCUGAAAGAUGGCCUCGCGUCUGAUUAGCUAGUUGGUGGGGUAACGGCCCACCAAGGCGACGAUCAGUAGCCGGACUGAGAGGUUGACCGGCCACAUUGGGACUGAGAUACGGCCCAGACUCCUACGGGAGGCAGCAGUGGGGAAUAUUGGGCAAUGGACGCAAGUCUGACCCAGCAACGCCGCGUGAAGGAAGAAGGCUUUCGGGUUGUAAACUCUUUUAAGUGGGAAGAGUAGAAGACGGUACCACUUGAAUAAGCCACGGCUAACUACGUG